rnacentral:rRNA from 1 species
AACGAACGCUGGCGGCAUGCCUAACACAUGCAAGUCGAACGAGACCUUCGGGUCUAGUGGCGCACGGGUGCGUAACGCGUGGGAACCUGCCCUUAGGUUCGGAAUAACUCCCCGAAAGGGGUGCUAAUACCGGAUAAUGUCUUCGGACCAAAGAUUUAUCGCCUUUGGAUGGGCCCGCGUUGGAUUAGCUAGUUGGUAGGGUAAAAGCCUACCAAGGCGACGAUCCAUAGCUGGUCUGAGAGGAUGAUCAGCCACACUGGGACUGAGACACGGCCCAGACUCCUAUGGGAGGCAGCAGUGGGGAAUAUUGGACAAUGGGCGAAAGCCUGAUCCAGCAAUGCCGAGUGAGUGAUGAAGGCCUUAGGGUUGUAAAGCUCUUUUACCCGGGAUGAUAAUGACAGUACCGGGAGAAUAAGCUCCGGCUAACUCCGUG